CAUACUCUACACGCACGACAUAUUCAAUCGGGCCAACCGUGUGACUCGUUUGGAAAAAAGCGCUCAUCAUCGGUUUCAUGGCAGCGAAGUGAGCAGACAAAAGAAGGCGUUUUUUCCGCAAGGUCGCUCUGGGCAAAAGUUCAGCCAAUUGCAAGGAAUAAACCACCGGAGUGACAGUAUCCGUGCUGUUUAGGACCUUUUUCCAUAUAUUGUAGCUUUUGAAUUUUAAUACCCGGUCGAAACGAUGGCAAGUGCUGCCGAUAACUGGGUCAAAAAGGCGGAGGGAGGAUCAGGAAAUUUCUGCACUCGGUUUUGAAUUUUUCUUUUCAAUGCAAAUAGGUUAUGGAUCUGAGUAUCCCUAAGGAUAAGGAACCAGAGCCGGCGGCUGACAGCCCAAAGAAAGAGAAUGCGGAAAAACCUUCUAGUUCACCGCCAGUACAACCAGCGAUCAAAUUACUCCCGUAGAAACGGCUGCACCUGCAGUUUUGUUUUCGGUAGCUACAGAAAUUAAGACUUUAGCAGCUCCUGAAGAAAAAAAAACUGCUAGCGAAAAUGGAGAAACAGCUUCCUCCACGGAAGAUGCAGAGGCAUUCAACCCGGCGGAUGCAAGUUUGCUAAUUAAACUUAUUCGCAAAGGUCUAGUAGAAUCAAAGCUGGAUCUGGGGGUGAAGGAUCCUUCUUCGCCGCUAUACUUGGUUAAAACUUUCGAAGCUUUGCACAUGAAUUCGGAACUGCUUCAGGGAGUCUAUGCUAUGGGUUUCAACGCUCCUUCCAAGAUUCAGAAGACGGCUCAACCUACUCUGUUGGCCGAUCCGCCACAGAACAUAAUCGCCCAGAGUUGGUCGGGAACAAGAAAAACCACCGCCUUCGUGCUGGCAAUGCUCAAUCGAGUCGAUCCGUUGAAAAACUAUCCGCAGGUGAUUUGCCUUUCCCCACGUAUGAACUGGCAAUUCAGAAGGGGAAAGUAGCUGCAAAACGGCAAAGUUUUGUGCGGAAAUCGAACUUGGUUAAACCGUUCGCGGUGAGAAGAUCGUCAAAGGGGCGAAGCUGACUAAUCAUAUCAUCAUCGGAACAGCCGGGCGUUCGACCUUAAGAAGAUUGCAAUUUUUG